GUGCAUUUCAAUUUUAGAAACACUUGUAUCCUAAUUAUUCACAGCUAUAACAAAUUUGCAGUGCUUGAGAAUGUAAUCCAAGUACAUCAGCCUCCUAAAAAUAGCCUCUAGGAAAUUUUCAGUCAUGACAUUAGGAUCCCAUCAAGAAUAUUGUGUGAUAUUCGCACAAGAUUUUAAUCAAGAACCCUAUGCACAUUAAGAGUUACCAUUAGCAAACUCCAAACUUCAAAUUUUGGUUAUCCGGUAAAUGAAGCGAAAACACAUUCAGAUAUGAAUGGUAGUGGAAAAAACGUUCAAUGUAUUCUAGUUUCAAAAUAUUCUAGUUAGAAUCUGAGUUGUCAGGCUCUUCACAUUCAAUUUCUCUCACAUUGUUAGAUACUGCUUCAAUCUUAAGUGAUAGCCUUUGUGUAUGCUCCUCGAUAUAUUUCAAGACUAUCUGUAGCUGUUCUUGAUAAGCAGCUGAUUUCUUUUUCUCACGAUGCAAUUCUGUGGAUAGCUCCCGGAUUUUUAGAUCUUUCCCAUCCUCAUUGAAUGCAAUCCUAUGUGAUCGUCGAGGUGGUAUUUUGCUAGGAUUAAGCUCAUGGCUGUGUUCUUUUACAAAACCAUAAAUAACCCAUUUUCCUCCAUCCUUUGCAGCUAUCCUUAACAUUGCAUUGCAUCCCUCCCUAGUGGCAGGCCGUGAGGAAAAAACUCCAUUUUCUCUCUUUGUACAUUUCCCUGCACGAAACCCUUCUUUUGAGCAAACAAACUCUCGACCAAUUAUUGAGUUAUCUUUAAGUGACCGACGUGUACGAUUGUUCCGUAUGGUAAACCCCAUACGCCUGCCAUACAUCUCGUAGAAUUCCCUGGCAUCCUCUGCUGAGUCAAACUCCAUUCCUAUAAAUGGUUCCAAAGCUAUAGGAAAAUUUUGAACAGAUGGCUGAACUAUGUUAUCAUUUCCAUCCAGAUUAUCUGAUAGCUCAUCUUCUGUUGUUUCUGGGCCAUCAAAAGUUUCAUCUAGCCAACGCCUAUAAUUUCCAUUUGAAUGGAAUUGUUGGCUGGAAGUACUUGCCAUCACAAACCUAUCAGAAAAUCAGACUAGUAUCAAACAGAACCAUACAGCCAAAACAUAGAAGCAAAAGCAGACACAACAUUAUGCGGUCUUUCAGCAUCUCCAAGUCUGAGAUUCUCCAAAACAAUCCUGAAGGGGUGAAGGGAGAAAUUGCCGGCAUUACAUGUUAUCAACAACAUGCACCACGACCAUCCAUGUGGCGCACAUGGGCUAGAAAAGAUAAGAGAGGGAUAAAAUGCCAAUAACUAGCAGCAUAGGAGGCUGCUAAUCAGCAACCUGCAUUGGCAGCUGUGAGCUUAAUGUGAAGGAUGAUUAUAGAUUCAAUGGGCCUAGUUUGUAGGGGUUUCACCCACAUGAUGAUUCAAUUUGCUCAUUAAUGCAUAACCAUGAGGAUCAUCCAAGUCAAAUUAGCUUUGCAUAUUAAUCAUGUUUGAAAUAUUGUUCAAGCCUAUCAGACCAAUAGAUGGUGGGGAUAGGCUCAAUAAUUCAACAGGUGUAAAGUGGAAUGAAUCUCUUUGGAGAGAAGAGCCAUGUACCAUUGUGCUAAGGACUUAGAAGAAAAGUUGGUACUAUUAUCAGAUUACUUAUUUCAUUAACAGGCACGCAAUAAGAAAUGGAUACCCAACAGCAUCAAGCUUGCAUAUCUAAGUCACUCUCAUCUGAGUCAAACCCAUGACCA
rnacentral:misc_RNA from 1 species